GACGAACGCUGGCGGCGUGCUUAACACAUGCAAGUCGAGCGAUGAAUUUUCUUCGGAAAUGGAUUAGCGGCGAACGGGUGAGGAACACGUGAAGAAUCUGCCCUCCACUUUGGGAUAACACAGGGAAACCUGUGCUAAUACCGAAUAUUGAAACAUAAGUGGCAUCACUGAGUUUUGAAAGAAUUUCGGUGGGGGAGGACUUCGCGGCCUAUCAGCUAGUUGGUGAGGUAAUGGCUCCCCAAGGCAACGACGGGUAGCCGGCCUGAGAGGGCGACCGGCCGCACUGGGACUGAGACACGGCCCAGACUCCUACGGGAGGCAGCAGUGGGGAAUAUUGGGCAAUGGAGGAAACUCUGACCCAGCGACGCCGCGUGCGGGAUGAAGGCCUUCGGGUUGUAAACCGCUUUCAGUAGGGAAGAAGCGAAAGUGACGGUACCUACAAAAGAAGCACCGGCUAACUAUGUGCCAGCAGCCGCCGUAA
rnacentral:rRNA from 1 species